rnacentral:rRNA from 1 species
CUACGUGCCAGCAGCCGCGGUAAUACGUAGGUCCCGAGCGUUGUCCGGAUUUAUUGGGCGUAAAGCGAGCGCAGGCGGUUUGAUAAGUCUGAAGUUAAAGGCUGUGGCUCAACCAUAGUUCGCUUUGGAAACUGUCAAACUUGAGUGCAGAAGGGGAGAGUGGAAUUCCAUGUGUAGCGGUGAAAUGCGUAGAUAUAUGGAGGAACACCGGUGGCGAAAGCGGCUCUCUGGUCUGUAACUGACGCUGAGGCUCGAAAGCGUGGGGAGCGAACAGGAUUAGAUACCCUGGUAGUCCACGCCGUAAACGAUGAGUGCUAGGUGUUGGAUCCUUUCCGGGAUUCAGUGCCGCAGCUAACGCAUUAAGCACUCCGCCUGGGGAGUACGACCGCAAGGUUGAAACUCAAAGGAAUUGACGGGGGCCCGCACAAGCGGUGGAGCAUGUGGUUUAAUUCGAAGCAACGCGAAGAACCUUACCAGGUCAUGACAUCCCUCUGACCGCUCUAGAGAUAGAGUUUUC